GGACGAACGCUGGCGGCGUGCUUAACACAUGCAAGUCGAGCGGUAAGGCCCUUUCGGGGGUACACGAGCGGCGAACGGGUGAGUAACACGUGGGUGACCUGCCCUCAGCUCUGGGAUAAGCCUGGGAAACCGGGUCUAAUACUCGGAUAUGACUCCAUGACGCAUGUUGUGGGGUGGAAAGCCUUGUGCGGCUGAGGAUGGGCCC
rnacentral:rRNA from 1 species